rnacentral:sRNA from 2 species
UGAGUAAGUCAGCCUAAUCCGGUGUUUCAUAGCGCCUAACACUGGAGCGGAGGAACCAAAGUUUGGGGCGUAUCUCUGAGUUAAUGGCUAAAAAGAUUUGAAGUUUGAAACUGAGGAUUCAUUUCAACUUCCCAAUCUAUGAAAUCCUAAAUCCACCAGAGAAGGGCAUCUCUCAGCCCUAGCCCGUCAGCUAACUUCGUAGGCAUUGAGAGGAGACUGA